UUGUACAUUGAAUGGUAGCUAUCGGAUGUAUUUGAUAAUCCUAGCAACCGUCUUUGUGCAAAA
rnacentral:pre_miRNA from 1 species